rnacentral:rRNA from 2 species
ACGGAAGGCAGCAGUAGGGAAUAUUGGUCAAUGGGGGAAACCCUGAACCAGCGACGCCGCGUGAGUGAAGAAGUAUUUCGGUAUGUAAAGCUCUAUCAGCAGGGACGAUAAUGACGGUACCUGACUAAGAAGCCCCGGCUAACUACGUGCCAGCAGCCGCGGUAAUACGUAGGGGGCAAGCGUUAUCCGGAUUUACUGGGUGUAAAGGGAGCGUAGGUGGCCAUGCAAGUCAGAUGUGAAAUCCCGGGGCUCAACCCCGGAGCUGCAUUUGAAACUGCGUAGCUAGAGUGCAGGAGAGGUAAGCGGAAUUCCUAGUGUAGCGGUGAAAUGCGUAGAUAUUAGGAGGAACACCAGUGGCGAAGGCGGCUUACUGGACUGUAACUGACGUUGAGGCUCGAAAGCGUGGGGAGCAAACAGGAUUAGAUACCCUGGUA